rnacentral:rRNA from 1 species
UACGAAGGGGGCUAGCGUUGCUCGGAAUCACUGGGCGUAAAGCGCACGUAGGCGGACUCUUAAGUCGGGUGGUGAAAUCCUGGAGCUCAACUCCAGAACUGCCUUCGAUACUGAGAGUCUUGAGUCCGGGAGAGGUGAGUGGAACUGCGAGUGUAGAGGUGAAAUUCGUAGAUAUUCGCAAGAACACCAGUGGCGAAGGCGGCUCACUGGCCCGGUACUGACGCUGAGGUGCGAAAGCGUGGGAGCAAACAGG